AUGCAGCAGGAGCAGGAAGAUUUGGGAAAGGAAAGGGAAGUUUUAAGUUUAAUUAAGAAGCGAAGUGGAAAACUCGGCGCUCUCACACGAAAGCGGAAUGAAAUUCACACUUUGAUCGAUAAUGGAGAGAAUACCACCGUCAUUGAAGAACACAUGAAAGUUUACAAUCGUUUCCUGGAGGAGUUUAUGGACGUACAAGUGGCUGUGCAAAGCUUAUUGAACGAGGACGAGAGAGAAUCUGACCACACCGACUGGUAUGAACCCAAAUUGAUAAGCUGCAGAGAAUUUAUUGAUGACAUAGAAACGUGGCUAAAACAAGACGCCUCGCAGGAUGCCGCUAAUAAUGUAAGCGCCGUGGAAAAUGUGUCUCACGCUGCAUCUCGUAAAAGCUAUGACGUAGAGCCCCACGAUAGCGUCUCACAGACCGCAAAACCCGCACGCCCCAGUAGCAAAGCAGCUGCGAGCAAGUCCUCUAGUUCAUCCUCUGCCAGUAGAAAAAGUAAAACCCUUUCAGAGAUGGCAAUUCAGGCCGAGCUGGAGCGCGUAACCCUGCUAAAGCAGGCUGACGCGUUACAAGAAAAACACGCGCUUGAACUUGAAGAAGCCCAAUUAAACGCAGUAAUGAAAGCCAAAAGAGAAACGCUGUCCGUUAAAACUAACUUGGCCAUCGCAAAGGCGAAGUCACAGGUGUUUAAAGAACAAGAAGAAACACAAAAAUCGAAAAGUCUAGCGUCCUCUGGAGCCUCUACACCCACACAAUUCAUAUCGCCCCAAAGAGCUAUGAAACAGACAAAAAUGUCACCGGCUCCCGUUCCGUUGUCUACCGUUGGACCUACUACGUCAGUCGCCCCCCCCAUAUAUGCAAAAAGCAAAGCAAAAACACGUCAUCUACAGCAAAGUGCAGACAGUAAUAAUGACCAACCCGAUUUAGCUGAAGCAAUGCGCAGGCAAAAUGAGAUUACUGCAAUGCUGAUUAAGCAGCAGAGACAGUCACCUUUACCACCCAUACAAGUACCAGUUUUUGAUGGUGAUCCCCUGCAAUUCAGAUCCUUUAUCAAAGCAUUUGAACAAGGCAUUGAGAGCAAGACAGAUGAUAUGCAGGUUAAGCUUUAUUAUUUAGAGCAAUUCACAUCUGGGCAGCCCAGAAAGCUGGUGCAGAGCUGCAUGCAUAUGAGCCCACAAACUGCAUUCGGAGAGGCUAAAAAGCAGUUGGAGUGGAACUUCGGAAGCAAAGUGAAAGUUACAGCUGCAUUUCUGAACAAGGCAUUGGAUUGGCCAGCCCUGAAAGCAGAUGACGGCGUAGGUGUAGCAUUAAGAUCAUACACAUUUUUCCUAAGAACCAGUUAUAACACAACGGAGGACGCCGGAUAUUUGGACGAAAUGGAAAACUCCUCACACAUGAAGGUGUUCGUCUCCAAGCUGCCGUUCAGGAUGCGUGAGUCCUGGAGGAUGAAAGUGUGCAGCAUCAGAGAGGAGCAAAAACGGAGAGUGAAAUUCAGAGACCUACUGGACUUCCUGGAAAGGCAAGUGAGAGCUGCAAUGGACCCCGUCUUCUGUGAAAUUCAAAAUACAAGAGCAAAAGCCACAACACCACCAACCCCCAAGUCAAUUGGAAAAGCCAAAGGCAGCAGCUUCGCCACCUCUGUUGCUCAGGUGCCACACCAGAGUGACACGCCCAACGUUGGAAAUGCAGGCAAAAUUCAGUGCUUGUUUUGCAAUGACGGCCACAUACUUGACAAGUGCACAACAUUCAAAAAGAAACCAAACAAAGACAAAAUUACGUUUUUACAGAGCAAAGGCGUGUGCUUUGGAUGCUUAGUACAAGGUCACUUAAGCAGGAACUGUCAAGAAAGGCUGACAUGCCGCACCUGCAGUAAGAAUCAUCCAACAGUUCUGCACAUCGAACCAAAACCUCAGAACACCCCAGCCGACCAUGAAACACAAACGGUCUCCAACGCACUUGUGUCCUUGGACUCUGAAGGUGAUACUGGGGUCGGUUCUAAAGAAUGCUCGCUGUCUGUUCUACCUGUCAAAGUCAGACUAAACAAAAGCACAAAAGUAAUCGAAACAUACGCUUUCUCGGACCCAGGCAGCUCAGCCACAUUCUGUACCGAGUCAUUAAUGACUCAGCUGAACGCACCUGGACAAAAAAUGGACAUACUGCUGAAGACGAUGGGGCAGGAGAAGUAUGUGAGUAGUCAUAAGAUCUCUGGCUUGGAAGUAGCUGCCUUAAAUGACAACAAAUUCUUGAGACUGCCAGAUGUGUACACUCAAAAGUCAAUCCCUGUCACGAAAGACAACAUACCCAAAGAAGAAGACCUUAAAAAAUGGCCUUACUUACAAGAAGUGGAACUGACGCCCAUCAAUGCAAGUAUUGGACUGCUGAUUGGUGCAAACGCACCUAAAGCACUGGAACCAUGGAAAAUAGUCAACAGUGAAGGUAAUGGACCCUACGCUGUCCAGACUAGUCUUGGAUGGGUCAUCAACGGCCCACUUGGACAAGAAGAUAGCGACGACAGCGAUACAGCUUCCGUACAGGUGAAUCGCAUCUCAUUAGGAAAAUUGGAAGAAAUGUUGAUUAAGCAGUAUAAUCAAGAUUUUGUCGAACAGCACUGUGACGAACACGCUGAAUUGUCUGUGGAGGACAAACAGUUUAUGGAAAUACUGUCAAGUGUGAGCUCCAUUUACGACCCACUAGGGUUCUUAAGCCCGGUGAUACUCCCCGCAAAGCAGAUUCUGCAGCAGCUGUGCAAGUUGAAGCUGGCGUGGGAUGAGGCAAUACCACCAGAGAUGGCACAAACAUGGCAAAGGUGGGUGGAUGAUUUGAUUCUGUUACACUCAUUCAGUGUCAGAAGAUGCUUCACACCUAGUGAAUUUGGAAAUGUAGAAAUGGCACAGCUGCAUCACUUUUGUGAUGCCAGCGAAGUUGGAUUCGGUGCCGUAUCAUACUUACGGCUAACUAACAGCGAGAAGGAAGUGUGUGUUGCUUUUGUUAUAGGCAAAGCAAGGGUGGCUCCACUCAAGCACGUCACCAUACCUCGCCUGGAACUGGCUGCAGCAGUCGUUGCUGUGCGCCUGGACAAGAUGCUGUCAAAACAGUUGGAGCUCAACCUCAGUGAGUCAGUCUUUUGGUCCGACAGCAUGACCGUCCUAAAAUACAUCGCAAACACCACCACUCGCUUUAAGACCUAUGUAGCCAAUAGAGUUUCCAUCAUAAGUUCACUGUCUAAUGUCGGUCAGUGGAGACAUGUUGGCUCUAAGAUGAAUCCUGCAGACGCAGCUUCGCGAGGCAUGAAAGUUGGAGCCUUCCUGAAGUCCUCAACCUGGAUCACUGGUCCUGACUUUCUCGGAAAAACCGAGCGUGAGUGGCCAGCAAGCGUGGACAAAGCAUCGCUGCAUCCGGACGCUGACCCAGAAGUGAGAGAGGAGGUCCUUUCCUUCGCCGCACAGGCGGAAGAAGUAUGUCCCACCACUAAACUGUUGCUGCACUUCUCUAGCUGGACAAGGCUCAAGAGAGCCGUGGCAUGGAUUAUGAAACUGAAAGAAAAGCUAAGGCUAAAGAUAAAAGAAAAUGCACAAUGUGGAGAUCAAACUCCUGUCAAACAGGUAAAGAAAACAAACUACUUACCACUCACAGUCGAUGACCUGCUCUUAGCAGAGGAGGCAAUAGUGCGCUUUGUGCAAAAGAAACAUUACUCCAGCGAAUUGGCUGCACUGAAAUCAGGUGGUGUAAAGAAAUCCAGUCAACUGUACAAACUUGACCCCAUUGCCAUUGAUGAUGUAUUGAGAGUUGGUGGUAGGCUGAGCAGGUCCGCUCUACCUGUGGAAACAAAACACCCUGCAAUACUACCAAAAGAAAGUCACGUCUCAAAGCUCAUUCUUCAACAUGUACACAAUAAAGUUGGUCACAGGGGAAGAAAUCAUAUGCUCUCAACCCUACGACGAAAGUACUGGAUUCCUCAUGCAAAUGCAGCAGCCAGAAAGAUCAUCAGUGAGUGUGUGAUAUGCCUAAAGCAGCGCCAAAGACCAGGUGAGCAGAAAAUGUCUGACCUGCCUGUUGACAGAGUCACAGCUGAUGCCCCACCAUUCACACAUGUGGGCCUAGAUUAUUUUGGGCCAAUAGAAGUUAAGAAAGGCAGAAGCCUAGUUAAAAGAUAUGGAGCACUUUUUACUUGCCUAACCUGUCGCGCAGUACACCUGGAGGUGGCGCAUUCCCUCAAUACAGAUUCCUGUAUAAACGCCAUCAGGAGGUUUAUCUGCCGCAGAGGCCAAGUCAAAGAAAUCCGGACGGAUAAUGGAACCAACUUCGUCAGCACAAACCGUGAGUUGAAACAAGCCAUUGCAGAGUUGAAUCACAGCAAAAUUCAGAAACGCUUGGUGCAGGACGUAAAAAGAUUGCUGCGUUCUGUAACUAACCAACAAGCCCUAGACGAUGAAGCCCUGCAGACAGUCUUCUGUGAAGCGGAGGCCAUACUGAACGACCGUCCAAUCACCACCUCCUCUGGCGAUCCCAAUGACAUCGAGGCCUUGACUCCAAACCACCUUCUUCAGCUGAAAGGUAAACCCAUCUUGCCACCAGGUUUAUUCAAGAAGGAUGACCUGUACGCUCGGAGACGCUGGAGGCAAGUGCAAUACAUCGCCGACCUCUUCUGGAAGAGGUGGACGACCGAGUACCUCCCUCAACUGCAAGAGCGGCAGAAGUGGAACAAAGUUCACAGAAACUUCACAGUUGGUGACAUCGUGCUCGUGGUGGAAGAGUCCGCACCCAGAGGUGCGUGGCCCAUUGGGCGCAUCACCGACACCAUGGCAGACUCCAAAGGGUGCGUUCGACGGGUCCGUGUCAAGACACAGACCAACGAGUUGGAAAAGCCCAUCACCAAGAUCUGCCUCCUGGUGGGGGUAGUUUAA
rnacentral:lncRNA from 1 species